CUAGCUUAUUAUUUGCUUCCUGUGUGCCUGCUUGUCUACCUAGCAUAGUAGGCCAAAGGUCCAAAGGCAUUUAGCAUUCCUAGGGGAAAUUGUGGCUGUUUUUCUGAGCCAGAUCUCUUGAUUUGGGUUUACACGGAGUCCUUUCAUGGACUAUCCUGAGUAUUGUCAGUAAAACGUCUUGGGGCAUAAGAACUUGUCUGAAUCUGUCAUACAUACCACUGCUGUCUUUUCCGAGUGGUAUUACAAGAAAGAUUUUUGUGGUGUGUUUGUUCUAAGAGAAAUGCCAAGGCUUUCAGAUAAAGAUAAGAUGAUAAUGAUUGACAUUGUUCUGCUCUUUUAUUUGGGUAAAAAAGGAAAGUUGAGGGGUCAGAACACAGUAGCCUGAUUAGUACCAUUCUGUUUUGUCACACUGUUCCCCAUUAGCUUGUACCAGUUCUCCUCUUCUCGGGGAUG
rnacentral:lncRNA from 1 species